rnacentral:rRNA from 1 species
UACACUCCUACGGGAGGCAGCAGUGGGGAAUAUUGCACAAUGGGCGGAAGCCUGAUGCAGCAACGCCGCGUGCGGGAUGACGGCCUUCGGGUUGUAAACCGCUUUCGCCUGUGACGAAGCGUGAGUGACGGUAAUGGGUAAAGAAGCACCGGCUAACUACGUGCCAGCAGCCGCGGUGAUACGUAGGGUGCGAGCGUUGUCCGGAUUUAUUGGGCGUAAAGGGCUCGUAGGUGGUUGAUCGCGUCGGAAGUGUAAUCUUGGGGCUUAACCCUGAGCGUGCUUUCGAUACGGGUUGACUUGAGGAAGGUAGGGGAGAAUGGAAUUCCUGGUGGAGCGGUGGAAUGCGCAGAUAUCAGGAGGAACACCAGUGGCGAAGGCGGUUCUCUGGGCCUUUCCUGACGCUGAGGAGCGAAAGCGUGGGGAGCGAACAGGCUUAGAAACCCUAGUAGUCCCAUG